CUUAGUAAGAAGCAUGCAGGGUGAAAAAUGCACUCCGUAUAUGUACAAGACACACUAUCCCCAAUAAAAUAACAAUGGCUUGUGAUCCAGAUGCAGCACGUGCACACACGUGGACAACACAAAGCACUGCUUACUCCAGAUGUGUUUCUUCUGCAUGGCUUCUGGCGCCUUCCUCUGCUUUCUUUUCUGAAGUAGCCCCUCUGGUGUCUCAGACUCCAAGUGGGUCAUCCAAGGGCUCUUUUUCCAGUGCUGCUGUACUAGGAGAGAUGCGAUUUAUCUGGAAGGCAGGCUAUGCAAACAAACAUACAAUAAACUUCUGCAGUUCCACAUUUUUUCCACUCCAGAGAUUCUUCCUCCAUCGCCUGACCCUUUGGUGCAAAACGCACCAGCAGCCUCAAAGCUGGUAUGUAAACUUAACAUGCCAGACAGGGGGAAUGCUAAGGGCAUCCAUAGCCACACAGUUUCCAUGAUGGGAAAUGACUGUAUUCAUGUGAGAGUGGAAAACUUGGUGUACCAGCAGCCAGACCAUUUGCUGUGGAAUAACUCAUUCACUAUUGAGCAAUGACUGCUUUACAUGGCGCAACUUCCCCCAGGCUCUCAGCUUCCACAGUCAAACGCAGGGCUGAAAAGAGCAAGGAAUGGUAACAGAAGGACUCGCACUCCCUGCUGCCACAAGGCAGGCUGGAGUUCCAACCAAACACCUGCUAUUAAAAAUUGGCUCACGACAACAUCAGCAUUUCCUCUGUGGAGUCUCGUACCCAAGGGAUGAGAGAUACGGUGCCAAGCCAUCUUGCUUAUUGACAAGAAAAAUCCGCCAGUUCUCUGCAGUGAUAGUAAUAAAAAGGUCGCUACCAGCAGUGCUGCUAUCCCAUUACUUUGAAACCGAUGCUCAGGACUAUUACUUUUUGUCUUUAUUUAUUUCCAAGCUUUACUGCUUGGCAGGCAAAACUCUUGGACCGUGAUGCGUACCGAUCCUUCCAGCAUCUAGGUUUUCACAGUGAUAUUAAUACUCAAGAGCACUGGAACAGAUCUAAGAUAAAUAUCCCACUGUCCUCUUCGCUGAGUCCCACACAUCAGCCACUGCGUUCAGAUGGAGAAACACUCGGUAUUCCAGAACAGGAUGGAGAACAGCCAAGGGAGCUUUCUGUAUGCAAAUGGAACAGAAUACAAACCAAAGCUGAUCUUUGGGUCUGGUACCCUGCAAGCCACGCUGUUUGACUUUGCAACCACAGCCUGCAGCCCCUUCUCUCCUGCACCUGCACAGAUGCAAGGCACCACCUCGCCCCCCUGUGCUGCAAAGUGGCUGGGUCGGGUUGCUGCAGCCUUAAUGGGGCUAGGAUGAAGAUGUGCAAGACAAAUAGGAGCAGAGCAGGUGCCACAUCCCAAGGAACAGCGCAGCAAACCUCCCUGAGAGGAGCAGCAGGCUCUGCUGCUCAGCAUGCUUCCAGCUGAUCACCGUCCCCCCCCGCAGCUCCCAGAGCAAGGUGUUCCCCAGAUGCUAUAACUUACCCCUCCCAGGCAUCAGGCCUGCACACCCAUGUGAGGACAGCUGGGUGUUUAAAGCUGAAACAGCCAAAGAAUACAUCCAAGAAUCUUUGAUAAAAGCUACAAUUUUAUGCACCAUGGAGCAUCCAUCAAGGAAAUGCGCGGAGCUAGUGCCACAAAAUAAUUACAUGUGCAGAGUCCAUUGUAAACACAGCUUUUGUGUGCAUCAGCACAGCUGGGGACAGUGUUUAAAAAUAUAAUUAUGUAAUGCAUUUUAUGUAGUCCGUGAGCCAUUCAAGUGAUACCAUCGGUUCAGCAAAAUUACAUGCAGCGGUUCUGUGUCUAUUGGCCCGAGCAAAGAAACAUUUUUCAGGAGCAUUAUUUUUUUUUCCUGCUAUGAAAUAGAUUUGUCUCUGGUGCCUACGGGGAAGUUGUGUCUCUGUCAUUGGCCACUUUCUCUUCUCCUUUCACCAAUGAAGGAGAAAGAAAUGGGGAGUUAUUUUUGGCCCUGCAACAGACUCCAGCAUCUAAAUCAGUUAGUCCUGAAACCACUUGGGGUGGUGUUGGUUCUCUUUUAAUGGCUUUACAGAGAAGGAAUUUGUGAUGUUUGACUGCUAGCGAAAGGAAACAAAGCAGCUGUCAUUGGAUAGAAGGGCAAAACAAGGUUAAGACACUGUGUAAUGAAGCAGGGUCUGGCCUUUAACACGGAGUGAAUGUGCAGCGAACGAUGAGCCGCAGCCAGCUCAGCACAGAAGAAGCUAUUACUCAGCCAUACAUAUGCUACAGCCUAGUGGGUGAUUUCCAUCAAAAAAAUGCACACACAUAGCAGGUUUGCAGCUAUACUUAAUUCUGACCCUCCCACUGUUUAUUUUAUCCUUGUGAAGCUUGUAGCAUAUUAGCUGCAGAAAACACACAGGAAGCUUUGCUUUCCUUCUCAUAUAACUGCAGCUGCAGCUCAGUCGAGAUGAUGCAACAGUAAAAUUCUGAGACAGGCUGUAUCUUCUUAACCACUGCUGCUAAAUGGCAGCAGCAGCAUGCACGCUUACCUGAGACAAAAAUAGAGCUUUAGAGAUACUAUCUAAAGGCCAUUUUAAGGCCCCAAAGCUUUCACUGCUUUGUAGACAGUAGCUUAUGUGUGCUGGCCAGAUCCCACCUGAAAAAAUUACGUUUGACCUACCAAAAUCUUUGUAGGAGACCCAGCAGAUGGCCUUUGAGUGUAAAAAGACCAUGAAAGAAAUCUGUACCUAGUUCCGUGGUAUGAGAUCCACAGGUGGGAGUAGUGAGAUAGCUUCUGCUGCUAGUCAGGAGCUGCUUGGCACAGAAACAGGGCUUGAUGCUGAUUUCUAAAUAUGGGAUCCGAAAGCUGCAAAGAGAUUUCCUCUUCUCUGUUAGCUGCUGGGCCAGGCGUGGCGUAUUGGAUCGCACAAAAAGGAGAACGUGGACCACAUUUCAGGCGUCUGCAUUCCUGCUCCAUGCUCACUCUGCUCCUCCCUAAGAAUACUGCAUUUCUUUCUAAUUCGUGGAACGGCAUGGAUUGGAAGACAGAAGAUACAGCCUGCCGUGGCAGAGCCUACUGAAGUGGGAGCCGUGCACUGAGACCUCAUUAGGAUGAUCAGCAGCGUUCAACAGAACAGCAGAGCAGCUGAACGAUCAGCACGGACAUGCUUCCAGAAGGAAGUAAAUACAACAGAGCUGUUUGAAAAACAGCAGAAUUGCCAUAUAUUUGACUCCAGAGCUGCUCAAUGAUUUAGGUCCUUCCUUCCCCACCGACAUCUCUGUAAAAUACAUUUUGAAGACGUAGCUCUCUGUGCUCUCUGGUGGAGCCUGCAUGCUUUAUCUAGAUAUAGACUUGCACAGUGCACGCCACCUACGACUCACAGGGAAAGCUGAACAGCUAUCACUCCUUUGCCUCCAAUGCACAGGCUGCUGACAAAGAGGCAGAGAAAGGAAAGGAAGAAAACAGAGGAAACCAAUGCAACAGCUUCGGACAAAAAUAAAUACAUAGAAGUUGGAAAACAGCAGCUCAGCACGCUCCGUGGGCUUUCUUCCCCCUUCUAAAUUAUUGCAGCAUUUAUUCCUCCACAGUGUAUUCAAGUUCCUUUGCAUGCUCAUGGCUUCAGAAAGGAAUCUGAGAGCAGAGUGGGAGUGCACAGCUGAGUAUAUGAUUUGGAUUACCUACGGCUUUCUCCAAAAAUGCAUAUUUGUCUCUAGAUCGGCUGAUUCUGGAGAUGUGCCAGGUAACACACAGAAGUCACCCCAUUCUUUUCUUCUUAGCAAUUACCUCUUUACGGUUGGAAGCAAUUUUUUCAAGGCUUUCUCAUUUUGCCAAAAUAUGUUUGAACGCAAUAUCACUUGUGCAGCCAAUAAUCCCUACUCCAUGCAGUGUCUCGGACCCUACAAUGACAGAUCUCUGCACAGGGCACUUCCCCACUUGUGCACAGCUUCCUAGCUUCACUGUGGCUCUGGAAAGAUGUGGAGCUCACGGCACACAGAGUCUGCAUCGGCAAAAGCCAUCAAUAAAGGUUUGCAGGUUGCCAAUAAACAACAAGAGAUUUCUAUGUACCUUCCUUGCCUAAGCAAUGCCAGCGUCGAAAAACUGAAACAAAGAGGGCAAAGUUUGCUUUCCUGCUCCGUAUCAGGGCAAGGAAAAGCAGGCUUACACUUGCUGCUUUUCCUCUAGGUCCACCUGUUCCCAUUGACCUUGAAUGGGGCAGAUUAUGGUGCAGAAGGCAGUGCUGUAGUUCAUCUUUCUUGAAUCACCUGGUGAAGUUUAACCUCAUUAUCAACAGCUCUCACUGUCACACUCAGAAAAGGGCCCUUGAAAUCCACAGGCUAUAAGUUAAUCAGUGCUGCAACUCCCACAGAGUACUUAGUACUGAAACAAGGAUGACUGUGUUUCUUUGGAAGUUUGUCACAUUUUAUUCCACAGAUUUAAAAAUUAUGCCAUCACGCAUACCAAAUUCAUCCACUUCAGCUGUUCUGCAUGUAGGUCUUGAUUUCACUAGUUGUUCAGUAUUCUGCAUUCAUUUUGUGUUCAAAGAUGAAAACCCCAGUCAGAGUCAGGUCCUGCUGAAAGCUCUGACUCAUAUUCCUUUUUGCUCCGGGGCCUUUCUUUCUUCCUAACCUUUCUAUUCUCUCUAAGAAAGACUCAGAGAGAGAAAAAAAAAAAAUCUUUUCCCCCCACAUUUACUGAUGCCAGUGAGAGUAAUGGCUUUUGUUCAUAGUCUUUAUAUAGCAACAGCCCCAUUCUCGCCCAGGUUUGUGAAGAAACAGCAUGCUUCAUCUCAUCGCCGGUCACCAAAGUCAGUUGAAAUGAUUCUAAGG
ensembl:lncRNA